AUGCGGCUGCCUCCGAAUGCCAGCAGCGUCACCGGGAAAGGGACUCGUGCAGCGACUGCCAAGGGACUGCGGGGCCAGGGCCGGGCGCACGGCGUCCUUCCCCUGCCCCCCUUUCCCCAGCCCACCCCCGGCCCCUGGCAGCCCUCACCUCCACGUCCUGCUCCGUCAGAGCCACGCUGCGGAAAGAGAAGCGCUGUCAGAGGUGGUGGCACCGGGGGGGGGCUGCAUGCCGAAAACGCACGUGGUCUGCUCCCACGGGUGCCGGCCACCACCAGAAUUGGGGACCCCCGUCUGCAGAGCGGCUCUCGUGCCACGGGAAGCCCAGUCCCCGGAGCAUGCCGUGCCCCGGGACCCCCCAUCCUGCAGCCCCUGGUGCUCGCCCCUUUUACCUCUGCAGGCCCAGUCUCUCCAGCACCGAGAGCUCACCGGGGAAGCUCAGCAGCGGCUCCUCCAGGGUUUCUGCAUCUGCAGGGAGGCAGUAACGCCGCUGGAGAGACCGCUCAUGAAGGCUUUUGGUCUGCUUUUCCUCCUCCCUCUGCCCUCCUGUCCCAGCAUGAGAACAUCCUGAUCCUUCCCCCAGCACCAGCAGGGUUUCACGUCCCCCAAACCAGUCCCCGGGUCUCCACGACGGGAGCCAAACCCCAUCAGACCCCAACAACCCACGCUGGUCCCCAGACACUUCAAGCCCCACCACGAGGGGACCCAGCCGGGGACCCGGGUUGGGGACUCACCUUCCUCGGUCCUGUCACUGUCCCCGGUGCGCACGGCCAGCUCCUGCCUGUCCUUGCCCGGCUCCUGCGGAGGGGGACAAGGGUGCUGUCGGAGCAACCCCCUCCCUGGUGCUGGACGGCAUCCCAAAAAGAGCAUCACCGCGUGGCUCCGAGGUCCCGAACCCGGCACCCUCCCGCCCCUCUCACCUCGCUGACACGCUCCACGCUCUGCUCGCUCCCGGCCACGACCCCGUCCGGGUGCCCCUGGGGGCUGCUCAUCCUCCCUGGGGACAGAGAGGGCGGUGGGAGCGGGGUGGCAGCGUCCCCUUGCCAGCCUCGGACCAGCCUUGAUGGAGACCCCCCCACACCCCCAAAAAAAAAAUAA
rnacentral:lncRNA from 1 species